CGCACACUACAUGAGAAGGUACAAAAGUAUGAAUCAUCAUACCCCGGGCCUGGAUGGAUUGAGGAAAAUGCCAAAUCAAUGCCAUGGGGAGAGGUAUAUUUUAGAUCAUGCUGGAAAAAUGCACAGAAUAAUAGCCCGUGUCCUGGAGAUGGUAUUGUCGACCCUUCUCAAGACAUACAAAAUGGUUCUCUUUCCCCUGGAUUUAUACUUCCGAG
rnacentral:misc_RNA from 1 species